GUUUCCGUAGUGUAGUGGUUAUCACGUGCGCCUCACACGCGCAAGGUCCGCGGUUCGAUCCCGGGCAGAAACA
rnacentral:tRNA from 1 species